CCUACGGGCGGCAGCAGUGGGGAAUAUUGCACAAUGGGCGCAAGCCUGAUGCAGCCAUGCCGCGUGUGUGAAGAAGGCCUUCGGGUUGUAAAGCACUUUCAGCGGGGAGGAAGGCGUUAAGGUUAAUAACCUUGUCGAUUGACGUUACCCGCAGAAGAAGCACCGGCUAACUCCGUGCCAGCAGCCGCGGUAAUACGGAGGGUGCAAGCGUUAAUCGGAAUUACUGGGCGUAAAGCGCACGCAGGCGGUCUGUCAAGUCGGAUGUGAAAUCCCCGGGCUCAACCUGGGAACUGCAUUCGAAACUGGCAGGCUAGAGUCUUGUAGAGGGGGGUAGAAUUCCAGGUGGAGCGGUGAAAUGCGUAGAGAUCUGGAGGAAUACCGGUGGCGAAGGCGGCCCCCUGGACAAAGACUGACGCUCAGGUGCGAAAGCGUGGGGAGCAAACAGGAUUAGAUACCCCAGUAGUC
rnacentral:rRNA from 1 species